UACGGAGGAUGCGAGCGUUAUCCGGAUUUAUUGGGUUUAAAGGGUGCGUAGGCGGAUGCAUAAGUCAGGGGUGAAAUACUGUAGCUCAACUAUAGAAUUGCCUUUGAUACUGUGUAUCUUGAGUACAUCUGAGGUAGGCGGAAUGUGUGGUGUAGCGGUGAAAUUCAUAGAUAUUAGGAGGAACACCAGUGGCGAAGGCGGCUAACUGGUCCGGUACUGACGCUGAGGUGCGAAAGCGUGGGGAGCAAACAGG
rnacentral:rRNA from 1 species